AUGGACAUCGACGGGGAGCCUUUGUUCGAGGACGAGCUCGUCAACCAAGCCGGCGCAAACAAGAAGCGCAAAAUCAAGCGGACGAAGGCGUAUACGCCGUUCGAGGACAAGCUCCUUUGUGAGUGCUGGAGGGACAUUGGGCAAGACCCCAAGGUCGGUGUCGAACAAAAGACAUCAAACUUUUGGAUUCGUGUUCAUCGUGAGUUCCAUGAACACAAGAAGUUUGCGUUGUACCAAAUGCAAAGCAAGCGUGGGUGGGUGUCCCUUUCAAAGCGAUGGAGGGUGAUACAACAAGAGUGCAACAAGCUUUGUGCCACCCUUGAGACCAUCAAGGCACACCGCAUGAGUGGCAUAUGCAUGCAAGAUAGGGUAUACAUGCACCCCUCUUCGUUUUGAUUCCCGUAA
rnacentral:rRNA from 1 species